rnacentral:lncRNA from 1 species
ACCACCCUUCUUGCAACUUUUGCCACUCAAUUUUUCCUUGUCUUUUUCUUAGAUUUCUUUUUAGAAUUUUUUAUAUGAUUUUUACAUCCCUACUCUCUAGUUUAAGCCCAAAAUCACCGCACAGCAAUUUAGGAUGUCCCAUAUAAAUAAGGGACCAAGGGACGUGUCAUGAGAAGAAGGGGUGCCAACCUUUGACACUGCAACUUC